CACGUAGUUAGCCGGGGCUUCUUAGUCAGGUACCGUCAUUAUCUUCCCUGCUGAUAGAGCUUUACAUACCGAAAUACUUCUUCACUCACGCGGCGUCGCUGCAUCAGGGUUCCCCCCAUUGUGCAAUAUUCCCCACUGCUGCCUCCCGUAGGAGUCUGGGCCGUGUCUCAGUCCCAAUGUGGCCGUUCACUCCCUCAAGCCGGCUACUGAUCGUCGCCUUGGUAAGCCGUUACCUUACCAACCAGCUAAUCAGACGCGGGUCCAUCCCAUAGCGAUAAAUCUUUACAAAACAGGACCAUGCGGUCCCGCUUUCCCAUGCGGUAUUAGCAGCCGUUUCAGCUGUUCGUCCCCCUCUAUGGGGCAGGUUACCCACGCGUUACUCACCCGUCCGCCACUCAGUCAUCCCAUAUGCUUCCCUUCCCCAGCAAGCUGUUCUGUCCGCGGGUGGAUGCUUCGUUCGACUUGCAUGUGUUAGGCACGCGCCAG
rnacentral:rRNA from 1 species